AUGAUGCGAAAGAGUGGGGAGCAACAACACGAGUUAUAUACCCCCGUAGUUGCACGCCCUACAACGCUGAAAUCUUAUUCGUUCUGGCGGUAUUCUUUUUCUAGGGGAGCAUGUUACAGCGCGAAACAUUGCCCCCCUGGGAGUGCGGCUCUCACGAGUAAAACACAAAAGAAUAGUUCGCGGGCGCCGCCGCACACGCUGGAGCAUGUUGCGUUAAUUUUAAGCCACGCGCGAACUUUACCAGCCCCUGACACCUUUGGACCGUUGCAGAGAUGGGUUUUACUCCCCGGUAGGUCAGAGUCACGCACAGCAUGGCUGGCGUCAGUUCGUGUCGUGCGAUGGAGGUUUAAGUAAGUCACCGAGCGCAACCCUCGCCCUUAGUUCCAGCUUUUCGUUGGGCACUUUAAGUAGACGGCCGGAGCUAAGCGCAGAGGAAGGUGGGGAUGACGUCAAGUCCUCAUGGCCCUUACGGGCUGGGCUACACACGUGCUACAAUGGUGGUUAAAGUGGGCAGCGAGCACGCGAGUGUGAGCUAAUCUCCAAAAGCGAUCUUAGUUCGGAUUGCACUCUGCAACUCGAGUGCGUGAAGUUGGAAUCGCUAGUAAUCGCGGAUCAGCAUGCCGCGGUGAAUACGUUCCCGGGCCUUGUACACACCGCCCGUCACACCAUGGGAGUUGGUUUUACCCGAAGGUGGUGGUCUAACCGCAAGGAGGCAGCUACACCACGGUAGCGAUCACGCGACUGGGGGAAGUCGCCGCGAGCAACAGCA
rnacentral:rRNA from 1 species